rnacentral:rRNA from 1 species
AUUGAACGCUGGCGGCAGGCUUAACACAUGCAAGUCGAGCGGGGUGAUGGUGCUUGCACUAUCACUUAGCGGCGGACGGGUGAGUAAUGCUUAGGAAUCUGCCUAUUAGUGGGGGACAACAUCUCGAAAGGGAUGCUAAUACCGCAUACGUCCUACGGGAGAAAGCAGGGGAUCACUUGUGACCUUGCGCUAAUAGAUGAGCCUAAGUCGGAUUAGCUAGUUGGUGGGGUAAAGGCCUACCAAGGCGACGAUCUGUAGCGGGUCUGAGAGGAUGAUCCGCCACACUGGGACUGAGACACGGCCCAGACUCCUACGGGAGGCAGCAGUGGGGAAUAUUGGACAAUGGGGGGAACCCUGAUCCAGCCAUGCCGCGUGUGUGAAGAAGGCCUUAUGGUUGUAAAGCACUUUAAGCGAGGAGGAGGCUCUUUUGGUUAAAACCCAAGAUGAGUGGACGUUGCUCGCAGAAUAAGCACCGGCUAACUCUGUGCCAGCCGCCGCAGUAA